UGUUCCCUUUCAACUGUCUUAAAAAUGUUGUUCUCACAGAUGAGUCAUCACAGUCGAAUGGGGCAGGACAAAAGUCAAGAUGACUGGCAGUGGCCAUGAUGUUGUGGAUGACCUUGGCAUUUCCAGUGCCUGACCAGAUUCUAAGUGUUCCACAGCACCUGAUUCAGUACCUUCAUGUCUAACUAUAUAUAUAAAUAACACUCUAAAUUUAACAAA